AUCUAAAGACCGUCAUACAAGGUCUUAUUUCUUGUAGUGCUACUGCCCGCGGAACAUACACUGGAUCUAGCUGAAAUAGAGGUACAACAUGUAGAGGUACUGUUGCAGGUACAGCAGGAACUUGUGGGCGCACUUCCGGAACACGUACCGAAAAUGGAGGUCUACGCGGUAUCUGUUUUUCUCUCCUUCCCAUUAUGCUAUAUCAAGCAAUUUAUUUAAAUUAUACAUUCAAAAUAUUAACUAAACAAUAAUUAAGUAAUGCAUUUAAAAAAAUUAGAUUAAUAAACUAAAAUGAUAAUUGAAAUAAGAAAUCAAAAAUUACAUACUUCGAAUUUUGGUGAAUAAUAUUGAAGAUCGAGUUUAGUUUAUAUCGGCUUCUUUAGCACCAACACCUGUGAGUUUGGAAUAAACUAUAUCAAAUUACAGUUUGAAUUAAUUAUUUCAAUUUUUUUAAAAAAUUUCAUGACCUAUUUGCUUUUAAUGAUAAUCGAAACACAUAUAACAUAAAAUUAAACCUGCAAAUAAACAUAUAUAUACAACAUACAAAUGAAGAUGAAUACAAACGACAAUCCUUAAAAUUUUACCAUACAAUGGAAGCAUACUGAGAUACAAAUUUCUCGCGGAGAAAUUUAAACAGCAAAUACUAUAAAACGAGAAGUUCAUGAAAUUUAAAUUUAAAUUAGUUCUUACGAGAUCUCAUUGAGAAAAACAGAAGAAAUACAUGUGCUCAAGAGGGAAAAAUUUAUAUAGAAAGAGGGAAAGCUUCUUAUGAUAUUUCAAGAUUGGAAGAUUUUAUUUCAAAUAAAAUAAAAUCAAGGUUUAUUUUAUCUGAAUUUUGUCCUGUAGUGUAUAGUUUGUCAUCAACACGAUAUUUCCAUCUCUAAAAAAAUAUUAAAUAAGAGAUUAAAUCUAGAACCGUCGAUUCAACUAACGUACUAUCAAUGAAAAAUACCUUGAUGCAAUUCAAUUGAGAUUUUUUUAUAUGAAGAUUAUACUAAUGAAAUCAAACAUUACAUGAAACAUCAUGUAUUCAUGUUUGUUUGUCAGAGGAAAUGUGAAUAAGUCUGAAUAAUGAUUAAGAAAAUAUUUAUUCGAACAUGAAACUUUAGUGAUAUCAGCACUGUAACUGGUAACUGUACUACUUGGUAUCUACUGUGACUCAAACGACACUAUUUUUUUCCCCUUUGAAUACUUUACAGUUUACAUUCAAAAUAUGUUUGCAUAUGUAUAUAUGGACCAAAAAACACCAAGUGUACUUUAAUAUAUACUACAGCCUAGAAUGAAUGAGAAGUUCAAAUCUUAAAAAACACUGUUCUAGUAUUAAUGUGCAUUUUCUUCAACCUUCUACAAUCCUAAUUCUCCAAAUAAUUAUUCUUUUUUUUUGAAAACAUAGAAAUACAGAAAAGCAAUGUUCAUCGUCAACCAACAUCUUAAGAAGUAUAAUUCAAUUUAAAAAAAUCACACGUCUUGAAAUCAAAUUAGAAUACGAUAUUUUGUGUUUUUUGUUAAUUUAUUUUAAAUCCACAUCCCUAAUCGUGAGAUCAAACACCCAGAAUGACAAAAUACCAAAUCAUUGAUCCAACACAACACUGCAUCGAAGAAUCUCGAUCCAAAAUAAACAAAUUAACAAAACAUUUGAGCUACCUGUUCGAACUCUCACCAGAGGAAAAUCGCUGCUGCCACCAGAGGAACUCCUCGCCGCAUCGCUGAAGGGUUGGGAAAUCACCGGAGGAACGUCGCUGGAGGGUUGGGAAAUCACCGGUGGAAUGUCGUUGGUUGGGAAAUCGCGAUGUGGGAUUUUAGGAGGGUUUAAUUUAGGGGUUUGGGUUUAACAAUGGGUAUUUUAUAUUUUUUACCUUUAAAUUAUCAACUUUAG
rnacentral:lncRNA from 1 species